GGUGAUUGUCCUCUUGUAAUAGGACAGCGCCGGCACCCGUUUUGCUAGCGUCCACUUCCAUUUUAAACGGCUUAUCAAAAUCAGGUGUGGCAAGAACAGGAGAACUACUCAAUAAAGCCUUCAAGGAAUCAAAAGCAGAUUUGCAAGCAGAGGACCAGACAAACGGGACAUUCUUACCUAAAAGGUGCUGGGAAGGAGCUAAUAGCUUGGAUCUUUGCAUCAAGAGGUCGUACAGUACCAUUACCAACAGUUUUUCCAAGGAGCAUAUUCCAAUAUUGAGGCGACAGCUAACACCUUAGGCGAAGAAGGUGAGGGCAAAGACCCAGAAAGAUCGCCCGUAUCAAUGGAACUGCGAUCAAGGUAGGGUUUCAACAAAUUCACAUGACAUAUGCGAGUCUUACUACGGCGAUCUGGAGUUGCUAAUAUAUAGUUACUGUCAGUUUGCUUUUCAAUUAUUUUAUAGGGACCGGAGAAUCUGGUUUGCAAAGCGGAACCAGCAACAGGUAAAAGUGCCAGGACCCGAUCCCCAAUGUUAAAUGUGCGACUGACUGCCUUGAUAUCGAAGUGAGCCUUCAUUUUCUUUUGAGAAGAACACAGAUUUUCACUAGCAAUUUUGCGGGCCAAGCAAAGACGUUCACGGAGAUUAGUAACAAACAUUUGAAGGUUAUCACUUUCUGUUGAUGAUGAGGAUAGCCACUGCUCAUAAAGCACUCUAAGUGGGCCACGGACAGACCGUCCAAAAACAAGAGCAUUUGGGCUAAACCCAAGGGAUUCUUGUACUGUGUCCCUAAUUGCAAACAAAAGGAGGGGUACUCCCUCAUCCCAAUCCUUUUGUGUUUCAAAGCAAUAUGCUCUUAGCAUAUUUU